UAAAAGCUUGGUCCUGACUUUACUGUCAGCUCUGGCUAGACUUACACAUGCAAGUAUCCGCACCCCUGUGAGAAUGCCCUACAGUCUCCCGCCCGGAAACAAGGAGCCGGCAUCAGGCUCACAUGUUGUAGCCCAUAACGCCUUGCUCAGCCACCCCCCCACGGGAACUCAGCAGUGAUAAAUAUUAAGCCAUAAGUGUAAACUUGACUUAGUCAAAGCCAAAUAAGGGCCGGUAAAACUCGUGCCAGCCACCGCGGUUAUACGAGAGGCCCGAGCUGAUAGUCUUCGGCGUAAAGGGUGGUUAAGAAUAAUACAAACUAAAGCUGAACCCUUUAACAAGCUGUUAUAAGCACUUAAAGGCUGGAAACUCCACCACGAAAGUGGCUUUAUUAUAUCUGAAUCCACGAAAGCCAGGGGACAAACUGGGAUUAGAUACCCCACUAUGCCUGGCCCUAAACACUGACAGCCCAUUACACCCACUGUCCGCCAGGGGACUACAAGCAUUAGCUUAAAACCCAAAGGACUUGGCGGUGCUUCAGACCCCCCUAGAGGAGCCUGUCCUAGAACCGAUAACCCCCGUUCAACCUCACCCUCCCUUGCUUUUUCCGCCUAUAUACCACCGUCGUCAGCUUACCCUGUGAAGGGUUAUCAGUAAGCAAAAUUGGCACCGCCCAAAACGUCAGGUCGAGGUGUAGCGUAUGAGAGGGGAAGAGAUGGGCUACAUUCUUUAGUGUAAAGAACUACGGACCAUACAUUGAAACAUGUAUUUAAAGGAGGAUUUAGCAGUAAGCAGAAAAUAGAGCGUUCCGCUGAAACCGGCCCUGAAGCACGUACACACCGCCCGUCACUCUCCCCAAGCGUAAGCGAACUAAUAACUAAUACUUAGCACCUGCAAAGGGGAGGCAAGUCGUAACAUGGUAAGUGCACCGGAAGGUGUACUUGGAUAAAAU
rnacentral:ncRNA from 1 species